AAAAGUAAAAUACAUCUCACAUUUUCUGUUUUUGUUUUGAAGGUUUCAUAAAGACACGAUGUGAGGAGGAAGAAGAGGGAAAUAUCUUUAAAGAGAGAGGGAUUCACUGCACAGCACGGAUGAAUCUUGCAUCGGAUUUUGGACUCAAUCUCAGCUGCUGAAUCAC